ensembl:lncRNA
GUUCCUGUUCCGGACUUCCCCGCGUCCCGCGUCCGGCCGGGCUCGGGCCCCCUGGCCGGUGCGCGGCGCCCGGGCACCCCGGGCCGGCGGGGACCGGUUCCCGACGCCAUCUUCCUCCCCCGCCCCCACCCUUUUUCUUUUUGGGGGGACCGCGCCGUCGCGGCCCUGGGCUGGCAGCCCUGCGCUCGGGUCCUAUGCCCAGAGGACCUGGGAGUCCGGCUUCGGAGGGAGGAGAAGGGCGAUCUGGCGCCGGGUCCCCCGGGCGCGGGGCAGACGGGCCGCCCCAUUGCACAGAUGCGGAGACUGAGGCCCCCAGAGGCCAAGAUCACGCACCGGAGAACUGGAGCCCCGCCCCACCACCCCAGCCAGCGAGGCGGGUGUUUCGGAGCCAGGGUCCCCAGACGCCGCCCGCAAAAUCAAGAUCUUUUCCAAUGAGUUGGCUCUUCACUUCAGGUGGCCAAAGUAUUGGAGCUGAUCCCAUUCCUUGCUGGUAUUUCAAGACUCCCUUGGCGGAAUAUGACCCCGAGGAACCAGCCUCAGAAACCAGCCAGUGCAGGGACGUCUCAUCCAGGAAACAGUGUUUAUUGAACACCUGCUACGAGCCAGCAGUAAGCACAUCAUCUGCAACCUUCUGGUUCUCAUCACCUCCUGGGGUUAAAGGGCUGAGGCGGGAACCAAGGAAGGGCAGGGGCAGCAGCGGGGUGCAUAUUAGCUCUGGCUCCACUAGAUGGCGCCAAAUAUAACUGAUGAUGGACCCAAAGCACGCCCCCGGCCUGGGCAAGGCGGUGCGGACGUCUCAGGAAGCUUGCAAACAAAGCUCAGAGCAUCACCUUGAAAGCGCACCCAUCUCCGGAAGGUGGCUCUUUGCUUUUCAGGAGGCAGAGGUGUGAACCAUCAGCCUUCGUAGGUUCAAAUCCAGACUCUGCCACUUAAAAGUUUCACACAUUUUCACAACUUAAAACUUUUAUUUAUUUUCCUUGCUUAAUGUAAGUUUUAUAGUCUCGUUAGCUUUUCAUUACUUUUUAAAAAAUUCAUAAUUUUUAAUUGAUUAAAUAAAAAUAGAAUAACAAUUGAGAUCUACGAAUGA